GCCAGACCCCGCCCAUCAGUCGCUCACAAGACACGGACGUAGAAAGACGUAAAAUGUAAGAAGCACUUCGGACGCCACGCAACUCGCACUAACCCACCUCGAUCUCGACCAUCCAGCGGACGAACCACCGCCUCGAGUGGAGAGAUUAGAGAGAGACAAAGACCCCCGCGACCACCCGAACCAUGGCCAAGACGAUCGUCAUCACACUCCCCAAGGGGCUCGGCGACGGAAACAAAAUGGCGGUUCCGGCGCUGCAGACGGCCUCCAUCGCCUCCAGGCAGCUCGACUCCCUCCUCGCCGCCGGGAACUUCGGGAAUCUGGUCCACAUCAUCAAGGACGAGCCGCCGCAGGGAUUCCAGACGCAAGGGUUCCUGGAGGAGGAGGUGGUGGUGGGCGGCGAGGACAAGCCGCCCACGAGGAAGAGGCAGAGACUCGACCACCUCAGCAUGGAGGAAAAAAUCAUGAGGAGAAAAUUAAAGAACCGAGUUGCUGCACAGACAGCGCGUGACAGGAAGAAGCAGAGAAUGGACCAGCUUGAAGCACAGAUUGAUGAACUACGGGACCUGACAUCUGCUUUAUCUGAACAGAACACUUGUCUUGCAGAAGAAAAUGAAGCACUGAAAGAAAUGUUGGCAAAGUGUACGUGUGGACAGGGCAGCACAGAGAGCAACAUCAACGAAGCCAUGAAUAUCGGCUGUAACGACACGCAGAAUGCAGUUGUCGUUGAGGAAGUCACGAUCCCUGUCAACAACCCCGCUGGUGGAUCAGCAGUAUCCCAACCUCAGCAGAAGGCAGUGGGGGUGUUGGCAGUGCUCCGGAUCAUGGUUCUCUCAACACUCUGCUCUCAGUGGGUCAAUACAGCUGCCUUGGCAGUGUUAGCAAACAGAACUCUCGGAACCCUUCCCAGUCUACCAGCCAGCAGCAAGCAAGUCAGCAUUUUACAAACCCUUCCAGUCAAGAAGAGAACUGCGAAGUGGUGGGGACCACACCAACAGUCCUGGAAUCCAACUGGGAUGUAGCAGACCAUGACUAUACCAAAGGAAGUCACACAAAGAACGAAUUGAACCUGAGCCUUACGCCUGCUGAGGAUGACCUUAUUACACAACUGACCAAAGCCAUGGACCAGGUUCCUGAAAUCAGCGUUAAGGACACAUCACCAGAAGGCGUCACCAUUUCAGUGGAUGACGUAGCACCCCAGACAGAUGACAUUGCCACACCAGACAUUCUGAAGGAGCUUCUGGACUUUGGCUGGUUUGAGAGUAAUGCUGAAACACAGGAAGAAAAUCAGGGUGCCAGUCAGCUGAACACUGCACCAGUGAAGGAGGACCUCCAAUCCACAAAUGAGAGGGCAGCAUCACCCAUCACCAAGGAACAGAUACUGGAUUUCCUGCAAGACAAGAUGCUGAGUCCCAGUCAUGGAUCGUCCACAGAGUCCGAGUCUGGUUAUGAUUCCAUCACAUCUCCAAGGUCCUUGGGGUCGCCAGAGACAAUUGAUCUGACGUCUCCAAGGCCUUUGGGGUCACCAGAGCCACUCGAUCAAGCAAUGGAGCUGGACGACUCUUUCAAUGAAUUGUUCCCAUCCCUCUUUUAGCUUGUUCAGUAUUCAAAAGCACCUAGUACCUGUGUUUACUUUAAGAACGUGUACAUUAGUCAGUUGAAUAUUAAGGUUGUAAAUAGUAUUUGUAAGGCUUAGGCUUAAGGUUUGAAGUGUGAUUGCUAUUAAAAGAAAUAUUUUCA